UACGUAGGGGGCGAGCGUUGUCCGGAUUUAUUGGGCGUAAAGAGCGUGUAGGCGGCCAGGUAGGUCUGCUGUGAAAACUCGAGGCUCAACCUCGAGACGUCGGCGGAAACCAUCUGGCUAGAGUCCGGAAGAGGAGAGUGGAAUUCCUGGUGUAGCGGUGAAAUGCGCAGAUAUCAGGAAGAACACCCGUGGCGAAGGCGGCUCUCUGGGACGGUACUGACGCUGAGACGCGAAAAGCGUGGGGGAGCGAACAGG
rnacentral:rRNA from 1 species